GUGGGGAAUCUUAGACAAUGGGCGCAAGCCUGAUCUAGUCAUGCCGCGUGAGCGAUGAAGGCCUUAGGGUUGUAAAGCUCUUUCAGCUGGGAAGAUAAUGACGGUACCAGCAGAAGAAGCCCCGGCUAACUCCGUGCCAGCAGCCGCGGUAAUACGGAGGGGGCUAGCGUUGUUCGGAAUUACUGGGCGUAAAGCGCACGUAGGCGGAUCAGAAAGUCAGAGGUGAAAUCCCAGGGCUCAACCUUGGAACUGCCUUUGAAACUCCUGAUCUUGAGGUCGAGAGAGGUGAGUGGAAUUCCGAGUGUAGAGGUGAAAUUCGUAGAUAUUCGGAGGAACACCAGUGGCGAAGGCGGCUCACUGGCUCGAUACUGACGCUGAGGUGCGAAAGCGUGGGGAGCAAACAGGAUUAGAUACCCGGGUAGUCC
rnacentral:rRNA from 1 species